CACUCACUGCCUCGCAGCCGGAGCAGACAGUCAAUUGUGUCCCCUUCCUCUACGACUAAGUCUAUUGGUCAGCACCCAUCAUCUCCAUCCAAUGACUUUGACUGGGACCAGUUAAAAUCUGGUCCAAAGUCAACAAAGGGAAGUAAGACCGGAAAUGGGACAUCGAACAGCAAAGGAGGAAUCGGAGACAAGAAAAAAGUCAAGAACAGCGGAUCAACCCAAAGUCAGGUUCUGGAGUACGAGAUGACACAGUUUGACAAGAGGAUGGCUCUCAACAAAUCAGUAGCGAACAUUUCAGUGAAGGAUCCCCAUUGCAAGAUCGUGAUCGGUGGUUCAAAUCGGCAGGAAAGGGGGCAGAGCCAGGAUCAAUUAUUCAUCCAGCAGCAGAGCUGCUCUGAGAAGAGGAGGAACGGCAUCAUGACCAACCCCAAAUAUCAUCAACAGGGUAAUCAGGUUUUCCUGAGUAGGGUAUCGGUUCCUCGGACUGUACAGAACAGAGGCCACCAGGAUGUUCUAGAGAACUAUCCCAUUGGGGAAACAGAACUAAGCCUUAAACAAGCCCUGAAACUGCAGAUUGAAGGAUCAGACCCUGGGUUUAACUACAAAAAGGAGACUCCGUUAUAGCUGCUGUCUUGAAUGCCAUUCGUCAUGCAGACAUUGGAGGGAAUGUGCCAAAGCAACUGUUUUCAUCUGCGUAAAAAAAAAAUACUGGAUGUUUUUUCUCAUCAUGGGGAGACCUCAAAACAAAACCAAGGGACGAUUGUUGAAUGCAGCUUAUGUGAACUGAUACAUCGAUGUGCCUACAUCUGUUACAGCCUUCUUCAUGUAUUCAUGCAAACUAUCAUUUUAAUUUAAUGUAAUGCUAUUUAAUAAACAGUGUAUGCACUUUUAAGAGUAAAAUGACAGACAUGCAUUUGUUCUAUUCACUUUGUAUCCCAUCCAUGUUUUAUCAAAGUAACUGUUUGAGAGAAACAUACCAAUGUUUUUUUAUUAUGUUAUAUUAUGUUUGUCUCUUUGUUCACACUGACAGCAAUGUACCACUGAGUACAUUGUCACAAGACCAGAGGACAUAACAGUAACUCAUGCCGUGGUAUGAUUUCUAAAAGCAUUGAUAGUCUGCCUUUCUAGAGACCCAAACAAAUCUGUGUUAACCGUGGAUCAGUGUGCUAAGCCUACGUUGUGUGUAAUAUGUUAAUAGCAAUGGCAAUUUUCAUAACAAGCAUAUAUACAAGCAUAUUUAUUUUUUGGAAAAAAGCCACUUUUGCUCCAUUUUUUUUGUUGCAUUACGCUAAACCAUGGUGCUGUGUUCAGAAGUUGCCUGCAGUUAUUUUUGGACUCCCAAUUUUGUUGGUUUUGUGUAUUAUUACAAAUAUGUAAGAAAGAGGGAGGUUCAUUUCAAAUGUAAAAAAAAGUUCAUUUUGUCCCUAUGGGAUUUCUCAGUUGCUUGUGUGUUAUUAUUUUGUGUUUGCGUAAAACUAUUUAAAUAACCCAUUGUGUACCGUCAGCAAACGUCUGGUGCUAAAUGCAGCAAUUUCAAGUGAAAGCAGUGUUUUAAAAAAAUUACAAAAAAACAAAUACAUCUGUCUGCAGAGUUACGUGUACUGCAAUGCAAGAAACAAAAUCAAAGCUUUGUUUCCUUCUUGUCAUGUGGUUCAUUUCCAGUCAUUCCUGCUGGAUUUUUUUCAGGAGCAUGGCACAAAAUGGUUUAAAAAGGGUUCAGCCAUCAAGACGACACAUAGCUGUGAAUGAUAUGCAGAGUUGUAAAGCCAAAGUUUGAUCCAACGUAAUUCUGUCCCACCUCCUCCCUGUGAGAAGCUGGAAAUCGGUUCAACAGGACUUAACCCCUCGAGAGAGGAAGGGGGGGAGGUGCUCGACUGUGACGCUGAGGGAACUGAAACAUCUGUUUCUCAUGAACUGUGUGGAGAGCUGCGUUAGCGUUUACAGGCUCUGUCAUAUUUUUACAGGCUUUUCAUUUUGUCAACAGUGAGCUAUUUUUUGCCAAGAACUAGGAUCGGGGGGGGGGAGUAGAAACGUAUCGCAUGCACAAACACUCAAAAGCCCUAGUGAAAGCAUCAGCUCUUCAGUACUACAGUAGCUCAAACGUCCGCCAUGAAGGGUCAUUAGAAGGAUUCAAGGCAGGAUGGGGUCUAGAAGCAGUGUUGGAAAACAUUCUGUAUAGUCUUAUUCAGCAGUUUCUCGUUUGUCUUGACUGUGUUUCGUCAUCUUUGAGUUGACUGUCAGUGAUUGGAUUGUAAAUAGCUUAACAUGUAAAUUCAACCUUCAUUUAAAAAUAAUUCCUGUAUUAUAUGAAGUGGAAUUUUCUGAUGUAUAUUAAAGUGCUUAAUAAACAUAUUUGCUUUACUGCUGAAAAAUAAA